ensembl:rRNA 5S_rRNA 5S ribosomal RNA
UAUUUUUGACAUACCACCCUGAACACACCCAAUCUCGCCUCAGAAGCUAAGCAGGGUCAAGCCUAGUUAGUACUUAGAUGGGAGACACGAAAUAACUUUGUGCUUAUCCCUUGUACAGAUACAACAGGUUUGAAGUCU